GUGGUGUUAGUUUGUUGGGAAAAAACACUACCGGUGGUUUGCGCUCUUUCGGUUGUUUGGUUGGGUUCGAAGGUUUUUCUAUCUGUAAAGGGUGGAUUCUCCUGCUGUGUUUUGGAAAUUUGGGGGUUUUGCUACCAUCUUGGGUUUUUGGGUUUGCAAGCCGUGUUUGUUAUUGGUGAGUGUUUUCCUUUCGUCCCUUCAAGGGUUUUGGAGAGAUGAGUUUUGGUUUUUCCUGUGGUGUAAGAAUUGUGUUAUGCUGUAUUUUGUUUGUGUUUAAUGCUUUCAUGUUGUCUUUGAUUUAAUUUGAAGGAAAUUUGUGUUAUUUCCAAGUUAUGUAAAAACAAAAACUGAGUGAUUGAAAAAUGUAAAGAUCGAUUGACAGGCAAGAAA